rnacentral:rRNA from 1 species
AGAGUUUGAUCCUGGCUCAGAGUGAACGCUGGCGGCGUGCUUAACACAUGCAAGUCGAACGAGAACGGCUCUAGCUUGCUAGAGUGUCAGCUAAGUGGCGCACGGGUGAGUAAUAUAUAGUUAAUCUGCCCCAAAGAAGAGAAUAAUUGUUGGAAACGACUUGUAAUGCUCUAUAUGCCUUUAAGACAUAAGUCUGCAAGGGAAAUAUUUAUAGCUUUGGGAUGAGACUGUACGGUAUCAGUUUGUUGGUGAGGUAAUGGCUCACCAAGACUAUGACGCUUAACUGGUUUGAGAGGAUGAUCAGUCACACUGGAACUGAGACACGGUCCAGACUCCUACGGGAGGCAGCAGUGGGGAAUAUUGCACAAUGGAGGAAACUCUGAUGCAGCAACGCCGCGUGGAGGAUGACACAUUUCGGUGCGUAAACUCCUUUUAUAUGAGAAGAUAAUGACGGUAUCAUAUGAAUAAGCACCGGCUAACUUCGUGCCAGCAGCCGCGGUAAUACGAGGGGUGCAAGCGUUACUCGGAAUCACUGGGCGUAAAGAGCAUGUAGGCUGGUAGUUAAGUUGGAAGUGAAAUCCUAUGGCUCAACCAUAGAACUGCUUCCAAAACUGAUUACCUAGAGUAUGGGAGAGGUAGAUGGAAUU